UCGAGGGGCAGCAUUUCAGUUUGCUUGCAAACUGGAGAUGGCGACCGGCGCACGGGUGAGUAACACGUAUCCAACCUGCCGAUAACUCGGGGAUAGCCUUUCGAAAGAAAGAUUAAUACCCGAUGGUAUAAUCAGACCGCAUGGUCUUGUUAUUAAAGAAUUUCGGUUAUCGAUGGGGAUGCGUUCCAUUAGGCAGUUGGUGAGGUAACGGCUCACCAAACCUUCGAUGGAUAGGGGUUCUGAGAGGAAGGUCCCCCACAUUGGAACUGAGACACGGUCCAAACUCCUACGGGAGGCAGCAGUGAGGAAUAUUGGUCAAUGGGCGCAGGCCUGAACCAGCCAAGUAGCGUGAAGGAUGACUGCCCUAUGGGUUGUAAACUUCUUUUAUAUGGGAAUAAAGUUUUCCACGUGUGGAAUUUUGUAUGUACCAUAUGAAUAAGGAUCGGCUAACUCCGUGCCAGCAGCCGCGGUAAUACGGAGGAUCCGAGCGUUAUCCGGAUUUAUUGGGUUUAAAGGGAGCGUAGGUGGACAGUUAAGUCAGUUGUGAAAGUUUGCGGCUCAACCGUAAAAUUGCAGUUGAUACUGGCUGUCUUGAGUACAGUAGAGGUGGGCGGAAUUCGUGGUGUAGCGGUGAAAUGCUUAGAUAUCACGAAGAACUCCGAUUGCGAAGGCAGCUCACUGGACUGCAACUG
rnacentral:rRNA from 1 species